rnacentral:rRNA from 1 species
GGAGUGGUCAUGCGUUACUCGGAAUCACUGGGCGUAAAGCGCGCGCAGGCGGCUAUUUAAGUUGGAUGUGAAAGCCUACGGCUCAACCGUAGAACUGCAUCCAAAACUAUUUAGCUAGAGUGUGGGAGAGGAAGAUGGAAUUAGUUGUGUAGGGGUAAAAUCCGUAGAGAUAACUAGGAAUACCAAAGGCGAAGGCAAUCUUCUGGAACACUACUGACGCUGAGGCGCGAAAGCGUGGGGAGCAAACAGGAUUAGAUACCCUGGUAGUCCACGCAGUAAACGAUGAAUGUUAGUCGUCGGGUAGCUAGUCUAUUCGGUGAUGCAGCUAACGCAUUAAACAUUCCGCCUGGGGAGUACGGUCGCAAGAUUAAAACUCAAAGGAAUAGACGGGGACCCGCACAAGUGGUGGAGCAUGUGGUUUAAUUCGAAGAUACGCGAAGAACCUUACCUAGCCUUGACAUAUAUUAGAAUCUUUCAGAGAUGAGAGAGUGCCUUCGGGAGCUUUUAUACAGGUGCUGCACGGCUGUCGUCAGCUCGUGUCGUGAGAUGUUGGGUUAAGUCCCGCAACGAGCGCAACCCUCGUCACUAGUUACUAACGGUUCGGCCGAGGACUCUAGUGAGACUGCCUUCGUAAGGAGGAGGAAGGUGAGGACGACGUCAAGUCAUCAUGGNCCUUACGGCUAGGGCAACACACGUGCUACAA